rnacentral:rRNA from 1 species
AGUGAACGCUGGCGGUAGGCCUAACACAUGCCAGUCGAACGGCAGCACAGUAAGAGCUUGCUCUUACGGGUGGCGAGUGGCGGACGGGUGAGGAAUACAUCGGAAUCUACUUUUUCGUGGGGGAUAACGUAGGGAAACUUACGCUAAUACCGCAUACGACCUACGGGUGAAAGCAGGGGAUCUUCGGACCUUGCGCGAUUGAAUGAGCCGAUGUCGGAUUAGCUAGUUGGCGGGGUAAAGGCCCACCAAGGCGACGAUCCGUAGCUGGUCUGAGAGGAUGAUCAGCCACACUGGAACUGAGACACGGUCCAGACUCCUACGGGAGGCAGCAGUGGGGAAUAUUGGACAAUGGGCGCAAGCCUGAUCCAGCCAUACCGCGUGGGUGAAGAAGGCCUUCGGGUUGUAAAGCCCUUUUGUUGGGAAAGAAAAGCAGCAGGUUAAUACCACGCUGUUCUGACGGUACCCAAAGAAUAAGCACCGGCUAACUUCGUG